AGAGUUUGAUCCUGGCUCAGAACGAACGCUGGCGGCGUGCCUAACACAUGCAAGUCGAACGGGUCCAAGAUGCAGGACUCAGGAUGCAGGGGCGUGAUGCGGGACUUAACCGAAGGAACUCGCAAGACGUGCACUUUGUAUCUUGAGUCCUGUGUCUUGGAUUAGUGGCGGACGGGUGAGUAACACGUAGGUAACCAACCCUCAAGCGGGGGACAACCCAGGGAAACUUGGGCUAAUACCGCAUAAGACCACGGUCUGGGAUGAUUGUGGUAAAAGGAGCAAUUCACUUGAGGAUGGGCCUGCGGCCUAUCAGGUAGUUGGUGGGGCAACGGCCCACCAAGCCGAAGACGGGUAGCCGGACUGAGAGGUUGAACGGCCACACUGGAACUGAGACACGGUCCAGACUCCUACGGGAGGCAGCAGUGGGGAAUUUUGCGCAAUGGGGGAAACCCUGACGCAGCGACGCCGCGUGGAGGAUGAAGGUCUUCGGAUUGUAAACUCCUUUUGUCGGGGAAGAUAAUGACGGUACCCGAUGAAUAAGCCACGGCUAACUCUGUGCCAGCAGCCGCGGUAAGACAGAGGUGGCAAGCGUUGUUCGGAAUUACUGGGCUUAAAGGGUGCGUAGGCGGUGGUGUAAGUCUGGGGUGGAAGAUUAGGGCUUAACCCUAAAAUUGCCUUGGAAACUGCAUCACUUGAGUAAGCGAGGGGAUGGC
rnacentral:rRNA from 1 species